AUAAGAUUAAGUAAACUAAAUAAUACUGUGGCUUUUUGUCUUCAACUAAUUCCAAACCUUUAAUAAAAUGGAAGGACCUGCUUACAGGGCAAUAGAAAGGGCCCGAUGUUUUAAUAAUCUGUGGGAGAGGAUAUGCUUGUAUUUUUCUACAGGACUCAGAUACACUCGUGUGAGUAUCAGGUAGACUCAUCAGACAGGUCUCAAUCACCACCAACUCCGCCACACAACUUCUCAAGACAAGUGAAAGUCCCCGCCUAAGAAAAAACCUUGAAGAACCUCUCACUCUGCGAGAUUCCUGAGAAGUUCGCGGGUCACAACCAAGUCUUCCCCAGCGGCGGCAUUAGCAAGCUCAACUUGAGGAAGUGACCCUCCAACCUGGGACCAGAUAAAGAAGCUGACAGAGGAAGCCGAAGCUGUAGUUCACCUUCAGGUCCUCAUCUCGCUCUUAAAAAGCAGCAUCCAGAAGGUGGAGAUAGAGCUUCAAACUUUUAAAUUAAAAAAUAAAAAAGGGGGAGAUGUCGGGAGCCAGUCCGAACUGCCCGUCUGAUGGCACAGCUCAGACGCCUGGAAAGAAGGUGGUAAAGAUACCUCAAGAUAACUGCUGGG